rnacentral:rRNA from 1 species
GACGAACGCUGGCGGCGUGCUUAACACAUGCAAGUCGAACGAUGAAACCUAGCUUGCUAGGUCGAUUAGUGGCGAACGGGUGAGUAACACGUGACUAACCUGCCCCUUUCUCUGGGAUAACGCCCCGAAAGGAGUGCUAAUACCGGAUACUCACAUCGAGGCACGUGCCUUGGUGUGGAAAGUUUUUCGGAAAGGGAUGGAGUCGCGGCCGAUCAGCUUGUUGGUGAGGUAACGGCUCACCAAGGCGACGACGGGUAGCCGGCCUGAGAGGGCGACCGGCCACACUGGGACUGAGACACGGCCCAGACUCCUACGGGAGGCAGCAGUGGGGAAUAUUGCACAAUGGGCGCAAGCCUGAUGCAGCGACGCCGCGUGAGGGAUGAAGGUCUUCGGAUUGUAAACCUCUUUCAGUAGGGACGAAGCGAAAGUGACGGUACCUAAAGAAGAAGCACCGGCUAACUACGUGCCAGCAGCCGCAGUAA